rnacentral:tRNA from 1 species
AGCCAGCAUGACAUAGUGGUUUGAGUGUUGGACUAGGACUCUGGAGACCAGGGUUUGAAUCCCAGUUUGGCUA